GGUACACACACACUACUACAGACUACUACACACUACCACACCAAGGUACACACACUACUACAGACUACUACACACUACCACACCAAGGUACACACACUACUACAGACUACUACACACUACCACACCAAGGUACACACACUACUACAGACUACUACACACUACCACACCAAUGUACACACACUACUACAGACUACUACACGCUACCACACCAAGGUACACACACUACUACAGACUACUAAACAAUACCACACCAAGGUACACACACUACUACACAAUAGCACACCAAGGUACACACACACUACUACACACCACAGUGCACACACACACCUACACACUACCAAACCAAGGUACACACACACUACUAAACACUACCUGGGCUACUAAACACACUGUGGCUGGAUCAUCCUGUGGCCCUACCACACCAAGGUACACAAACACUGCUACACACCAAGGUAUACACACACUACUUUUUACCAACUCCGCAAUAUUUCUAAAAUUCAAUCUAUUUUAAAUCUCAGUGAUGCAGAAACUUGGUUACAUUCAUCUCCUCGCGACUUGAUUAUUGUAACAGCCUUUUUACCUGCUUGAACCAGAAAACACUCAAACGGCUACAGACUGUUCCAAACUCAGCUGGCAGGCUUUUAACAAGAUCUAGAAAAUAUGGCCAUAUCAAACCUGUUCUAGCGUCUCUACAUUGGCUUCCCGUUUGUUUAAGGAUUGAUUUUAAGAUUUUAUUGAUUACUUUUAAGGCUCUACAUGACUUGGCCCCAACUUAUACCGCAGAGCUUUUAGUCCCCUAUGUGCCGUCUCGUAGUCGGAGGUCCUCAGGCAGUAGACUGCGGGUCCUCCCAGUGUCCAGGCUCAUAACUAAAGGGGACAGAGCUUUCUCCAUACAGGCACCGAAGCUCUGGAACGACUUGCCUGAGGAAAUUAGGUUGACUGAGUCACUGCCCAUUUUUAAAUCUCUCCUCAAAACCCACUUUUAUCAGAGAUCUUUUCCAGAUUUCAUUUGAGCCUGCCUUUGUUUUUAUUUGUCUUUUAUCCUUUUGUUUUCAUAUGGCUCAUUAUUGUCUGUACAUCACAUGUAUUUUAUGCUCAUUGUUUUAAUGGGCUUUAGUCUGUUCAGCAGUUUGUAAAUGUGUUUUGAAAAGUGCUCUAUAAAUAGAGUUUAUUAUUAUUACUACACACUACCACACCAAGGUACACACACACUACUACAAACUACUCAGACUACCACCCCAAGAUUCACACACACACUGCUACACAAUAAGGUACACACACACCUACACACUACCACACCACUACACACUACCACACACUACCACAUCAAGGUACACACACACACUGCUACACACUACUGCAGUCUACUACACACUACCUCACCAAGGUACACACACACACACACACUACCACACCAAGGUGCACACACACACACACACUACCACACCCAGGUACACACACACUACUACACACUACCACACCAAGGUAAACACACACUACCACACUAAAGUACACACCCACACUACCACACCAAGGUACACACAAACUACAACACUGAGGUACACACACACUAUCACAGUAAGGUACACGCACGCACGCACGCACGCACGCACGCACGCACGCAGGCAGGCAGGCAGGCAGGCAGGCACGCACGCACGCACGCACGCACACACACACAUAACCACACUAAGGUGAAAAUACUAGAAAGUCCUUCUGUUGAAAGUGGAUAGAAUGUUAUCUAGGAUGGAAACUCCCCUUCAAAUAAAUAUAGAAAACAAAAUCUAAAUAUGAAACAAAACGUCUUCAAAAAGCCUAAAGGACAUCA